rnacentral:rRNA from 1 species
AGUCAUUCUGCCCAUUGAAUUUAAAAGGCUGCGGUAUUUUAACUGUACAAAGGUAGCAAAAUAAAUAGUUUUUUAAUUGAAAACUUGAAUGAAAGAGUUAAUAAAAUAUAAAUUGUCUCAAAAAAUUAAUUUAAAUUAAAAGUAAAAAUACUUUUAUAUUUUUAUUAGACGAUAAGACCCUAAGAAUUUGAUUAUUUAUAUUAUUUUAAUAAAUAGAUGAAAUAUAAAUUAUUUUAUUGGGAGGGUAAAUAAAUUAAACUUUAGUUUUAUAAAAUAUUUUUAGAUAAAUUUAAUGAUUAUUAUUAAGAUUAUAAGAAUAAAUUACCUUAGGGAUAACAGCGUAAUAAUUUUGGAGAGUUCAUAUUGAUAAAAUUGUUUACGACCUCGAUGUUGAAUUAAAAUAAAAAUUAAAUGGAGAAAUUUAAAAUUUUAGUCUGUUCGACUAUUAAAAUUUUAC